rnacentral:lncRNA from 1 species
CUUGAUCUGGAUCCCCAACCCCUAGACCUUGAUCUGGAUCCCCAACCCCUAGAUCUUGACCUGGAUCCCCAACACCUAGACCUUGACCUGGAUCCCCAACCCCUAGACCUUGACCUGGAUCCCCAACCCCUGGACCUUGGCCUGGACACCCGACUCCUGGACCUUGCCCUGGAUCCCCGACCCCUAGACCUUGGCCUGGAUCCCCGACCCCUAGACCUUGGCCUGGAUCCCCGACCCCUAGACCUUGGCCUGGAUCCCCUAGACCUUGGCCUGGACCCCUGACCCCUAGACCCUGGAUAUGACUACUCAUGGCUUAACAUAGGCCACUCUAACCUCACUCCUCUGUCCUCAACUCGGAUAUGUAAUGUUAUCUCUGGACUUGCACAUUUACUGUAGUACUAGCUACAGGUUAUAGCUAGAUCAACACAUUUAGCAGCUACAGGUUAUAGCUAGAUCAACACAUUUAGCAGCUACAGGUUAUAGCUAGAUCAACACAUUUAGCAGCUACAGGUUACAGCUAGAUCAACACAUUUAGCAGCUACAGGUUUCAGCUAGAUCAACACAUUUAGCAGCUACAGGUUACUGCUAGAUCAACACAUUUAGCAGCUACAGGUUAUAGUUAGAUCAACACAUUUAGCAGCUACAGGUUUCAGCUAGAUCAACACAUUUAGCAGCUACAGGUUACUGCUAGAUCAACACAUUUAGAAGCUACAGGUUAUAGUUAGAUCAACACAUUUAGCAGCUACAGGUUAUAGCUAGAUCAACACAUUUAGCAGCUACAGGUUACAGCUAGAUCAACACAUUUAGCAGCUACAGGUUAUAGCUAGAUCAACACAUUUAGCAGCUACAGGUUUCAGCUAGAUCAACACAUUUAGCAGCUACAGGUUAUAGCUAGCACUACUACUACCAACCUUGAGUUGUGGUUUGCUUUUGGACAAAAAAACACCACAAUCUGAAGUCUUGUUUUAAUGAAAUUUCUCUGAUUAACUUUAGGUCAAUUUAACUGACUUUUAAAAACUAUUUUUUGAAACCUGUGUUCUAAACAUGAAGUAAUGUCAUUACAUUUAGCUGAUCUUAGCCUAUUGUACAGCUCUGUUUUAAUGUGUUAUAACAUCACGUCAGUGUUAGUAUCCAUGUCAACAUCGGGACAUUCAACCUCCUGUCCAAUGAGAACUGUCGUGACAUGAUGAUUAUGGUUCAGAGUUCUUCAGUUUGUGUUGCAUUAUGGAAGAAAACAUGAGGUACAUGCGGAGAGGAUUGAAAACCUAUGGGUUCUCUUUUGGUACUUGUCUCUCAGUUGUAAAGUGUCAUUUAUUGAUUGAAUGUGUUGGAGACUGAAUUGUAUUGUCAUUGACUCACAUCAGCCGGGA